rnacentral:rRNA from 1 species
UACGUAGGGGGCAAGCGUUAUCCGGAAUCAUUGGGCGUAAAGCGCGUGUAGGCGGUUCAGUAAGUCCGCUCUGAAAGCCCAGGGCUCAACCCUGGGAGGCGGGUGGAUACUACUGAACUAGAGUACGGAAGAGGAGAUUGGAAUUCCUGGUGUAGCGGUGAAAUGCGCAGAUAUCAGGAGGAACACCAACAGCGAAGGCAGAUCUCUGGGACGUAACUGACGCUGAGACGCGAAAGCGUGGGGGAGCAAACAGG